AAUUGAUAUUUGCGUCAAAAAGAGCAACUAUUUGGGGGGACGAUAAGACCCCGUGCACACUUAAAUAAAUAUUAGUUUAUCUGAUCUCGGAUUUUAGAUAAAUUUUUUAUAAUUAAGCUGGGGCGGCAAUUAAUUCUCUCUAAAAAAAAAAACACCCUAAAUGAAAAAGUCAAAUCUUUAAAAACACAUAAAACAAGUUACUCCGGGAAUAAAAGCACAAUUUUUCCAA
rnacentral:rRNA from 1 species